AUGUCAACCCACCGCUUUGUUGAGAGCUUCAUCACCGAGUUGGAUGGCCUCAACAUUGCCAGGACUUCCACUUCGGCAGGGUGUGCACUUGUAAUACCAACGCGAAGCUGUUGGAAACCAUCUCUGAAUGGACACGUUAAGAAGUAUCUAGACGGGGGUUUGUCCUAUGAUGGGCGUGUUGGAGCUGCGGCGGUUGUAUGCAGGGAUGAGCAUGGUCAGUACCUUGGGACCUCAGCAAUUGUUCUACCCGGUGUUCUUAAUUCGACAGUUUUAGAGAGCAUUGCUUGCCGUGAGGCUUUAGCACUUGCGGCUGAUCUAUCUUUGGAUCACUUGGUAAUUGCUAGUGACUGCAAACCGAUUGUGGGUAACAUCAUAAAAGGGGUAGGAGGCCCUCAUAUCACAGUCGUCAAGGAGAUAAAUAAUAGAAAAACACCUUUUGCUAGCUGUGAUUUUAUGUUCGAAGGUCGUGCUUCGAAUCAGGAGGCUCACAAUCUUGUAAAAUUUUCUGCCUCGCUUCGGCAGGGUCGCCACUUGUGGCUUAUCUCUCCUCAUGACCCUCUUUGUAUCCCUUUGAUUAUUGUUCCAAAUGAAAAAGUAUGGGAUCCCUAA
rnacentral:rRNA from 1 species